rnacentral:rRNA from 1 species
CCUACGAGUGGCAGCAGUGAGGAAUAUUGGUCAAUGGACGAGAGUCUGAACCAGCCAAGUAGCGUGAAGGAUGACUGCCCUCUGGGUUGUAAACUUCUUUUAUAUGGGAAUAAAAUGUUCCACGUGUGGGAUUUUGUGUGUACCAUAUGAAUAAGGCUCGGCUAACUCCGGGCAAGCAGCCGAGGUAAUACGGAGGAUCCGAGCGUUAACCGGAUUUAGUGGGUUUAAAGGGCGCGCAGGUGGAUUGUUAAGUCAGUUGUGAAAGUUUGCGGCUCAACCGUAAAAUUGCAGUUGAAACUGGCAGUCUUGAGUACAGUAGAGGUGGGCGGAAUUCGUGGUGUAGCGGUGAAAUGCUUAGAUAUCACGAAGAACUCCGAUUGCGAAGGCAGUUCACUGGACUGCAACUGACACUGAGGCUCGAAAGUGUGGGUAUCAAACAGGAUUAGAUACCCUUGUAGUC